AACCCUACCGCCGCUUCUCCUGCCUGCGUCCCUCGGCAGCUGGUCUGCGUCCGUCCGCUCCUACUCGCCGGCGGCAAGGUUCGUCAAUACUCGGGAGCGGCAUCUCUUCGUUUGUGAUGGUCAGGGGAUCUACGCCUGGGCGUAGUUCGCUUGGUGGUUAUCCAGGAAAAAGUAGAGGAGAGGCGGCGGCCAGAAGCGUUCUCGGCGACAACAAGACAUCACCGGCGGGGCGGCCGUCCGCCACCGUGGAGGAUAUGCACCUCCACCGGCCUCACCGCCCCCGUAUGAGCUCCUCUCUGCUCGACCACCCUCUGCCCGAGCUCUCCCCGGCCGACCCCUUCCCUGCCGCGGGAUGCCCUUUCCAAGCUCCUCUCUGCGCGGCGGCUGUGGCGGUGGUCAAUCCUCCUCCAGUGUUGCGCCCAUCUCAGAGAUGCUCCGGCUCCCUGUACACAUCCUAACCUGGGCGGCGGCCCACCCUCUCCAUGGUCUCCGUGCACGGCUCUUCCCGCCGGCGCGAGUUGCAGCAAGCCGCCGACCCGGUUCUGGAGCUUGACGAUGCAGACAUCAUAUGGGGCGCAGGAGGGGCGGUGGCAUACCGUGGGGGUGCUAUUGGAGCUAUGCCUGCUUGCCAUCUUGCCGACGGUAGACGAAGACGGCAUCGAUUGGAUCGACCAAGGUUCCGUACUCCAUCCCCUCCCAGGUCCCAGCAACGAGCAUGUUCUUUUACUUCCUACUAGAGGCGAGGACAUGACUUCAUUUGGUCUGAACUAGAGAUGCACUUUGGAAUUGGUCGACAGCUAUCUAUAAUAUAUACAGCCUAAGUACAUUUCUUAAUUUUUAAAUCUGGCUGCAUGCUGAUGGUCCAUACAGUUCGGUACUCCUGCGGUCCUGCCAUAUUAAAUAUUUCAAUUUUCCUUUAUUUCCUAGACUUCUUCUGCCAUGUUAUUUUCAAACUUUUUACUUCAUUUCAAACAAUUGCUUGCUUAGUAUAUAUUAGGAUGAAGCUGUGGAGGUAGGUUUAUUAUCAUGCUAUUUAAAUAGGCUUCUUUCUUGAUAUAUUUGUUCCUACAUAAUGGAGAAUAUGCGGAGCUAGCUUGAUAUUGCAGGUAUAUAAGGAGCACAAUCAGUUUGAUGGUGUAAAAGUUAAAGCAGGUUACCUCUGUAUUUCUGUGUCCUGAUAGGUCCUGAGUUCGAAUCGUGGGUGUUAUUUUUAGGAAACAUGCUAAUAGAGGUAUGCUAAUCAGGGCUUCUCAAUUUUAAGCAGCGAUUUUUGCGGCGCUCAUCUGCUAUUCUAUCCGGUGCCCGAUUGUAGUAAUAUAAUAGGGUGUUGAGUGCAAAUUGAUAGAUAUUUCCGGUCUGAAGUUUAUUUCAUGCCUGUUUGCUAAUAUUUCUGUUUCGUCAUUAACUCAUUUUUGGAGCUAGGAAAUGUGAGCCCAGAUACAAGUUUUGCUUGCUUCCAUGAAUAUCGUUGUGCGGGUGAGUACAACUGCAGUCAGGGUCCAUUCACAUCAAAGGUGGGAUAUUAGGAUCGAUGAAUAUUGGUCUUUCCGGCAAAGUUUGUAUACUUUAUAAAUUGCUUAGGUUAAAAGAUAAUGCCAACUAAGAUCAUCAGGUACCAUUAUCAGCAACUGCAAAUGCAACAAAAUGGAAAUUACAUGAUUGCUCUCACAGUCUCACUUGAACACAAGAACAUGUAAGGCAAAUAAGAUGAAAUGUGUAGUUUGUCCACUGUACCAUGAAUAUUUCUGAUUGCUUUGUUUAUUUUCUACACUAGGCAUGGGUGUCUAGGUGAAAAGAGAGUCCGUAUUUGAGUCAUAGUUGAAGUGAAAUUUGUUCAAUGUACCACCAAGUACAUUUGUUUACUUUAGUGUCGUGGGCCAGCUAGGUAUUGUUAGUGUCUGCACAUAAAGUGCCGGCUUAGAGGAGAGUGUGAUAAUUCAACUGUUGGGAUCUUCUUCAGCGAUGGAGAUCCGGAUUGAGCCGAGUAACAAUAGAUGAAGCCUCUGUCCGGAUUAUAUACUAGGAAUGCUCCGCCACCUGUAGAGAUAUACACUGCAAUUUACAGUUUCAAGUAGGAGUAUGUUAUAUUAAGUGCCAUGCCAUGCUUCCAUUAUAUGUAUGCUGCACAUCCAGUUAGUUACUAAUGCUUUAUGCUUAAUUGUUUUGGGGAUGCAUUUUCGUAUUGCUGAGAUCAGAUAGUCCAGGUCUUCUUUUGCUAUUUA